rnacentral:rRNA from 1 species
GACGAACGCUGGCGGCGUGCCUAAUACAUGCAAGUAGAACGCUGAAGGAGGAGCUUGCUUCUCUGGAUGAGUUGCGAACGGGUGAGUAACGCGUAGGUAACCUGCCUGGUAGCGGGGGAUAACUAUUGGAAACGAUAGCUAAUACCGCAUAAGAGUAGAUGUUGCAUGACAUUUGCUUAAAAGGUGCAAUUGCAUCACUACCAGAUGGACCUGCGUUGUAUUAGCUAGUUGGUGAGGUAACGGCUCACCAAGGCGACGAUACAUAGCCGACCUGAGAGGGGGAUCGGCCACCCUGGGACUGAGAAACGGCCCCGAAUCCUACGGGAGGCAGCAGUAGGGAAUCUUCGGCCAUGGACGGAAGUCUGACCGAGCCACGCCGCGUGAGUGAAGAAGGUUUUCGGAUCGUAAAGCUCUGUUGUGAGAGAAGAACGAGUGUGAGAGUGGAAAGUUCACACUGUGACGGUAUCUUACCAGAAAGGGACGGCUAACUACGUG